GAAGAUAUAGCUCAAGUGGUAGAGUGCAUGCUUAGUGUGCACAAGGUUCUGGGUUCAACCCCCAGUACCUCCU
rfam:Camelus ferus unplaced genomic scaffold scaffold256, whole genome shotgun sequence.